rnacentral:lncRNA from 1 species
UCCUUCCUUCCUUUUUCUUCUCUCUCUCUCCUCUCCUGUGUUCUCAUCUGACGCUUGCUUCUCUCACUGUGACUGCUAAUAUAGCUGGUCACUUUCAAGUCCACACAUUCUCUCACACGCACAAGCACACACACCACACACAGACACAAGCGCUAGUAUAGGGUCAUUGCCUAAAGCAGAGGAUGGGGAAAUGUUCGCUGGGAUUACAGGGGUGAGCCACUGCACCAGGCCAUAUACAUAUGUUAUAUAUAUACUCUCUUGUGUUAUAUAUAACGCUCUUGUGUUCUCUUGGCCCAGCAGCUCCGGGAACGGUCAGCGUGGGGGGCCAGGCUGGCGGGACAUUUGGGGUCCCCCAUACGUGAACCUAUGCCUGUUGUAAGAUGUUUGGAAAGGCGUUCAAAGAUGAGAUCAUGUUGUGUCCUUGGAAGCUGAAUGAAGAACCGGCUUGCAAAGGAGAAGCGCGUGCAGUCCCGGCGCGGCCCGCUCUGCUCGGUUCUCCCGGGCGGGCCUCGGCCUGGACUGCGUGUCGCGAGGGCUCGCGGGCCCCGCAUUGCUGCCUGCCACCGGCAGGUGUCUCUUUCCUGGCUUGGGAACCUAUUGUGAGUUCACCAAAUGGAGGCGCGAGGAGGAGGAGACGGGCAGGGGAGGGACGGCGAGAGCCGGAGCGGGCACCGCCCCCUGCCCGCCCGCGCCCCGAGCGCACGGCGGCCCAGCCACAAGGCUGCCGGUCCUCACCUUUGAAAUGCCGGCAGCUGCGCGCGCUGCGGCGGGCGCGGAGAGGAGCCACCUCGUCACGUGGGGAGGAAAUGCCUUGCCGGCCUCCAAACCUACUGGCUCUUGUUUCUGGGGUUUUAUGGCCAGGAGAGUCGGGUCACUUCUCAAACCCAAGAUCAAAGGGCAGCAAAAAUCUCAUCACAUCGCCAGAGAAAUAA